rnacentral:snRNA from 1 species
AUUGCACUGAUUUUUAGAACGAGGCGAAGAGUUAGGGGCUUGCUCCGCCUUUGCAACGGGUUGGCCUGGUAUAGCAGUACUACCAGGAUUCAGCCC